GAAUCUGAGAGUGUCUUCGAUGUCACCAGCACAUGAAGAAGGAGAAGAAAGCUUUCGUUUGGAAAGAAGAGUGAUUGAGUUGAUGGAGAGUGAAUUGUUGUGAAGACGAGGAGAAGAAGAAGGUGUUGAAGAAGUACAGCAAGAAGAAAGAGAACGAGCGAAAAUCGAAGAAGAAGAAGAAGUAACAGAAGCAUAAGCUGCUUCUAUGAAAGCCAUUUCUUCGUCGGUGACAAAUUCAAUUGGAAUAUUGUUUUUAUU
rnacentral:lncRNA from 1 species